ACAGCAGUCGCCACGGUAAAACAGAGGGUGCGAGCGUUAAUCGGAUUUACUGGGCGUAAAGCGUGCGUAGGCGGCUUUUUAAGUCGGAUGUGAAAUCCCUGAGCUUAACUUAGGAAUUGCAUUCGAUACUGGGAAGCUAGAGUAUGGGAGAGGAUGGUAGAAUUCCAGGUGUAGCGGUGAAAUGCGUAGAGAUCUGGAGGAAUACCGAUGGCGAAGGCAGCCAUCUGGCCUAAUACUGACGCUGAGGUACGAAAGCAUGGGGAGCAAACAGGAUUAGAUACCCCAGUAGUCCCUGUCUCUUAUAC
rnacentral:rRNA from 1 species